GAAACAGCUACAGAGCCAUUACCCACCAACUUGAAUUUCUACCACAGAGCAGAAGUUACACCCUAGCCUAGCGAAGGGGCCUCCCGCGAAAAGAGCCAGAAGGCUGGGUUCAGCCCAGAAAGUUGGAAACGCUGCCCAUUUCUCCUGUCCUCCUUUUUCUUCUUCCUGGAUGAAAUUGACAAGAGUUCUGCCAAGUUUCCCCUUCCAGCUCACAAGAUACUGAGCUCAAUUCUCUGCAUGGACAUCUGGAAGUAAGUCCCACAGAGCAGCACAGGAAGGAGAAACUCUCUGCAUGCAGCUGAAACACUUGUACUUUCCCUCCACACUUUUAUCCUAAAACUGAUAGAAAAUUCUCAGCAUCUUAUUUGUAUCAUGAUAAAUCUAUCUCAGCAUCCACUUCUGUCCUACUAUUGCAGCACCAUUGAGAGUGUCCUGACAUACGGCAUUCUUGCAUGGUAUGGGAGCAGCUUUGUAGCGGACAAAAAAGCUCUACAGAGAAUCAUUAAAACUGCCCAGAAUAUCAUCAGACUCCAGCUACCAGCCCUGGAUGACAUCUUCGAAUCUCGCUGUUUGGGAAAGUUGCAUAAUAUUCUCAGAGACUCUUCCCAUCCUGCUUACAAUCUUUUUGCACUGUUCCCUUCUGGCAGAAGAUACAGAACAAUUAAAACUCGGACCACACAUUUUCUGAAUAGUUUUUAUUCCAGAGCUAUAAUUGCACUCAACAAUGAACUAAAGGGCCACCAUCAGUGAGCUGUUGGACAGUAUUACUUGGUCUGUUGUGUGGAUGUUUGGGUGGUUUAGGGGUGGGGAAUUGUGGUGGGUGGGAGUGUG